GUGACCACAAACACUAUAGCCAGUGCAUUGAUCGCGGCAUAAAGAAUAAAGGUACCUGAAAACAAGUGAUACAACAAGUCAAAGUGGUGGUAAUUGUUUUCUGGGUUCUUCUUGUUAGGCUGUAAGGAUAAAGAAAUCAGAAAUUAGAACCUGAAUUUCAGCUGCCUCCUGAGAUA